rnacentral:rRNA from 1 species
GUGCCGUGAGGUGUCCGGUUAAGUCCGGUAACGAGCGCAACCCUCGCCCUGUGUUACAUGUGUCACAGGGGACUGCCGGUAUAAAGCCGGAGGAAGGUGGGGAUGACGUCAAGUCCGCAUGGCCUUUAUAUCCAGGGCUACACACACGCUACAAUGGCCGGUACAAUGGGUCGCGAAGCCGCGAGGCGGAGCCAAUCCUAAAAAGCCGGUCUCAGUUCGGAUCGCAGGCUGCAACCCGCCUGCGUGAAGUCGGAGUUGCUAGUAACCGCAGGACAGCUAUACUGCGGUGAAUACGUUCCCGGGCCU